rnacentral:rRNA from 1 species
CGUGUAGGCCGUUUGGCAAGUCCCGUGUGAAAGCCUCCGGCUCAACCGAAGAACGUCGGCCGAUACUGCCGUUCUUGAGGGAUGCAGAGGAGACUGGAAUUCCCGGUGUAGCGGUGAAAUGUGUAGAGAUCGGGAGGAACACCGGUGGCGAAGGCGGGUCUCUGGGCAUCUCCUAACGCUGAGGCGCGAAAGCGUGGGGAGCAAACGGGAUUAGAUACCCCGGUAGUCCACGCCAUAAACGAUGACGACUAGGUGUGGGGUGGUUCAGUCCACUCCGUGCCGCAGCUAACGCAUUAAGUCGUCCGCCUGGGGAGUACGGCCGCAAGGUUGAA